rnacentral:rRNA from 1 species
AACGAACGCUGGCGGCAGGCUUAACACAUGCAAGUCGAACGAGUAGCAAUACUAGUGGCGCACGGGUGAGUAACACGUGGGAAUCUCCCUUUCAGUACGGGAUAACGUCGGGAAACUGACGCUAAUACCGUAUACACCUCCGGGUGAAAGAUUUAUCGCUGAAAGAUGAGCCCGCGUCAGAUUAGCUAGUUGGUGGGGUAACGGCCUACCAAGGCUCCGAUCUGUAGCUGGUCUUAGAGGACGAUCAGCCACACUGGAACUGAGACACGGUCCAGACUCCUACGGGAGGCAGCAGUGGGGAAUAUUGGACAAUGGGGGCAACCCUGAUCCAGCCAUGCCGCGUGAGUGAUGAAGGCCUUCGGGUUGUAAAGCACUGUCGAGGGGGAGGAAGCCGCAAGGUUGACCUAUCCCUGGAGGAAGGACGGGCUAAGUUCGUGCCAGCAGCCGCCGUAA